UUUAUGGAGAGUUUGAUCCUGGCUCAGAGUGAACGCUGGCGGCGUGCCUAAUACAUGCAAGUCGAACGAUGAAGCUUCUAGCUUGCUAGAGUGCUGAUUAGUGGCGCACGGGUGAGUAACGCAUAGGUCAUGUGCCUCUUAGUUUGGGAUAGCCAUUGGAAACGAUGAUUAAUACCAGAUACUCCCUACGGGGGAAAGAUUUAUCGCUAAGAGAUCAGCCUAUGUCCUAUCAGCUUGUUGGUAAGGUAAUGGCUUACCAAGGCUAUGACGGGUAUCCGGCCUGAGAGGGUGAACGGACACACUGGAACUGAGACACGGUCCAGACUCCUACGGGAGGCAGCAGUAGGGAAUAUUGCUCAAUGGGGGAAACCCUGAAGCAGCAACGCCGCGUGGAGGAUGAAGGUUUUAGGAUUGUAAACUCCUUUUGUUAGAGAAGAUAAUGACGGUAUCUAACGAAUAAGCACCGGCUAACUCCGUGCCAGCAGCCGCGGUAAUACGGAGGGUGCAAGCGUUACUCGGAAUCACUGGGCGUAAAGAGCGCGUAGGCGGGAUAGUCAGUCAGGUGUGAAAUCCUAUGGCUUAACCAUAGAACUGCAUUUGAAACUACUAUUCUAGAGUGUGGGAGAGGUAGGUGGAAUUCUUGGUGUAGGGGUAAAAUCCGUAGAGAUCAAGAGGAAUACUCAUUGCGAAGGCGACCUGCUGGAACAUUACUGACGCUGAUUGCGCGAAAGCGUGGGGAGCAAACAGGAUUAGAUACCCUGGUAGUCCACGCCCUAAACGAUGGAUGCUAGUUGUUGGAGGGCUUAGUCUCUCCAGUAAUGCAGCUAACGCAUUAAGCAUCCCGCCUGGGGAGUACGGUCGCAAGAUUAAAACUCAAAGGAAUAGACGGGGACCCGCACAAGCGGUGGAGCAUGUGGUUUAAUUCGAAGAUACACGAAGAACCUUACCUAGGCUUGACAUUGAGAGAAUCCGCUAGAAAUAGUGGAGUGUCUGGCUUGCUAGACCUUGAAAACAGGUGCUGCACGGCUGUCGUCAGCUCGUGUCGUGAGAUGUUGGGUUAAGUCCCGCAACGAGCGCAACCCCCUUUCUUAGUUGCUAACAGGUCAUGCUGAGAACUCUAAGGAUACUGCCUCCGUAAGGAGGAGGAAGGUGGGGACGACGUCAAGUCAUCAUGGCCCUUACGCCUAGGGCUACACACGUGCUACAAUGGGGUGCACAAAGAGAAGCAAUACUGCGAAGUGGAGCCAAUCUUCAAAACACCUCUCAGUUCGGAUUGUAGGCUGCAACUCGCCUGCAUGAAGCUGGAAUCGCUAGUAAUCGCAAAUCAGCCAUGUUGCGGUGAAUACGUUCCCGGGUCUUGUACUCACCGCCCGUCACACCAUGGGAGUUGUGUUUGCCUUAAGUCAGGAUGCUAAAUUAGCUACUGCCCACGGCACACACAGCGACUGGGGUGAAGUCGUAACAAGGUAACCGUAGGUGAACCUGCGGUUGGAUCACCUCCUUUCUA
rnacentral:rRNA from 1 species